UCCGCAUUAGUCCAGUGGUUAGGAUACCUCGCUCUCAAGGUCUGGGUUCCGAGGUGGCCGGGGUUCGAUUCCCCGAUGCGGAA